rnacentral:rRNA from 1 species
UAAUGCCGGAUGCUCCAUCACACCGCAUGGUGUGUUGGGAAAGCCUUUGCGGCAUGGGAUGGGGUCGCGUCCUAUCAGCUUGAUGGCGGGGUAACGGCCCACCAUGGCUUCGACGGGUAGCCGGCCUGAGAGGGCGACCGGCCACAUUGGGACUGAGAUACGGCCCAGACUCCUACGGGAGGCAGCAGUGGGGAAUAUUGCACAAUGGGCGCAAGCCUGAUGCAGCGACGCCGCGUGAGGGAUGGAGGCCUUCGGGUUGUAAACCUCUUUUGUUAGGGAGCAAGGCAUUUUGUGUUGAGUGUACCUUUCGAAUAAGCACCGGCUAACUACGUGCCAGCAGCCGCGGUAAUACGUAGGGUGCAAGCGUUAUCCGGAAUUAUUGGGCGUAAAGGGCUCGUAGGCGGUUCGUCGCGUCCGGUGUGAAAGUCCAUCGCUUAACGGUGGAUCCGCGCCGGGUACGGGCGGGCUUGAGUGCGGUAGGGGAGACUGGAAUUCCCGGUGUAACGGUGGAAUGUGUAGAUAUCGGAAAAGAACAC